UUGAUCCGAGCAUGAGAUGUGGGAAGUAGUACUCCAGCUGGACGUGAAAAUGCCUUUAAAUAAUGCAUCCUUGAUCACCGUGUUCAUCAAGUACGUAUAGUACUAUGGCUAAUCAAAACGUCUUUUAGCUUCUGGACUUUGCCAUUUCCCGGUUUUAGCUCCUAUCCAUCUUGUAGCAGCGAGCGGCACAGAGGUGAGCCCCCACGAACUCCAUGACGAGGCCAACGUCCCCUGGUAGCUGGAUCCCGCUCGAUGCAGUAGAAAGCGACGACGUGAG
rnacentral:lncRNA from 1 species